AUAUUCCAGAAACUUGAUGCUGGCUCCCUCAUUUUCCAUAGACCUCAUAGCGCUUGUUGCUCUUGCAGAGGACCAGCACCCACAUGGCGGCUCGCAACUGUCUGUAACUCUAAUUCCUGGGGAUCUGACGCCCUCUUCUGGACUGCACAGGCACUGCAUUCAUAUAACAUCCAUGCACUCAGGGCUGGGACUGCAGGCAUGUACCAUGUGUCACUGUGACCAGUACAUGGAAUUCUGAGGCUUAAAACCAAGAAUUCCCGCACAGUGGGCAAAUGUUCCACCAACUGAACAACAUUCUCAUCCUGACAUACUCUUUCUUGGGGGUUGAAGCAAACAGUGAACCGACAUCUCCUAGCUCCCCACACAGUGUGAGCAAUUCCUCCUUUCAGUUUCUGAAGUUUCAGCCAAUGGAUGAAUCCGUUCAGGCUGAAGGCUGAAGCGGGACGGUGAGCUCUAGGCCAGCCUGGACUACACAGUGAAGCCCAGCUUAAAAAAGAAAAAAUGGCCAGUGUCUCAAAGAAGACUGAGCUUCUGGCAGCGGGCACCUAUAUCCUUGUGACUUCAGACAGCUUGAACUCAUGAGCUCUACUCAGCUGACCUGUUAUAAUUGUCUGAUGUUCUGAAUAUGGGUGGCUAUUGAAUGAGACUUCAGUUGUUUUUAGCACCGCCUCCCCCCAUCUCCUAGGUUCAUGCAGUAGAUAAAUAAGUAUUAAAAUGUGCUCAGUAUCACUAACCAAGGAAACCCAAAGCCAAAGCAUGAGUGCUACCUCUUAUCUGUUAUGGCUAUUACAAAAAACGUAAAAGUAACAAAUACUGACACGUGGGCAUAGAAAAGGGACUCAGUGUAGACUGUGAGUGGACUGUGAACUGGUGCCAUCACAUGAAAAACAGUAUAGGGCACUUUUUUUUCAAAUUAAAAAUCUAGUAACU
rnacentral:lncRNA from 1 species